CACCUGGGCCCUGCUCUCAGAUGGAAGUGUCACCAAACACCCAGAUCGCCGUGCUCCUGCUUCUCUGGGUUCAAUGAGACCCUCCACCCAGAUGAGCAUGAGCCCAGCCAGGGUGGGCUGUUCAGUUUCUUCCCUGGGAAUCUGGAGCUGGAUUGAGCUGGUCUGCAGCCUGGUCUGAGAGCCCAGCAGGCUCGAGACACUGCAACCUGGCCUGGCCGUGGGCAGGCAGGGAGUGGAGGUUGCGGCAUCGUCUGGGCAGAGGAGCUGGGGCGUUUGCCAGAAGUCUCCAACGGGCCAUCUGGUCCCAGAGAGCAGAGCACACAGCCUCAAGAAAUACGAGAAAGGCGGCAGGGGCAGAGUGGACACAACCUGAAAACCAACUGGACUGAGCAUCCUUCUCCUAAAAUCUCAGCCAGAAGCCACGAUGGAGGGUCCUGGGAAGGGAAGAGAUGUGAAGAUUUCUGUGAUUCUAAAACCUUGGGUCUGCCUGCAAACUUCUCUCUGAUCCCAGCCGAGAGCUGUGCACACGCUAGCUAGCCCUGUCACACAAUAGCCCAGUGUUCCCGUCACAGUGCCUGGGAAUGAGAGGCUUUUGAGGCCACAGAGCUAUGACAAGUCCCCAGGUUGAAUUGACUCUGGGAGGACAAAUUUCUGAGAGACUCACGGGACCCUUAUCCAGGACAACCUCACAAAGAUCCCUGAAACUGAGCUUCCUCUGCUUCGUGCAUAGUUUGAGGUAUAAACUUUCCUUGUGUCUCGGUCAGAUGAAGUGAAGGAUGAAUAUUAUCCCAGGCUAAAGUAACGAAAAGUCCAGAAGCCAGCGAUGACAGAGAUGUGUGUGGAAGAAGGCUGUGAGCAUUUCCAUCAAACCCUGUGAGUUUCCGAAGAUCUUAUCCCGAAGAUAUGUGUUUGGCCAAUAAAACACUGAAUAAAAAUCCAUCAUGUUUCCA
rnacentral:lncRNA from 1 species